GAUGAACGCUGGCGGCGUGCCUAAUACAUGCAAGUCGAGCGAACAGACGAGGAGCUUGCUCCUCUGACGUUAGCGGCGGACGGGUGAGUAACACGUGGAUAACCUACCUAUAAGGCUGGGAUAACUUCGGGAAACCGGAGCUAAUACCGGAUAAUAUAUUGAACCGCAUGGUUCAAUAGUGAAAUACGGUUUUGCUGUCACUUAUAGAUGGAUCCGCGCCGCAUUAGCUAGUUGGUAAGGUAACGGCUUACCAAGGCAACGAUGCGUAGCCGACCUGAGAGGGUGAUCGGCCACACUGGAACUGAGACACGGUCCAGACUCCUACGGGAGGCAGCAGUAGGGAAUCUUCCGCAAUGGGCGAAAGCCUGACGGAGAAACGCCGCGUGAGUGAUGAAGGUCUUCGGAUCGUAAAACUCUGUUAUUAGGGAAGAACAAAUGUGUAAGUAACUAUGCACGUCUUGACGGUACCUAAUCAGAAAGCCACGGCUAACUACGUG
rnacentral:rRNA from 1 species